UGUCAAUAAUAAGUGUUGCUGUGAAGAGAACAAUAGUCAGACUGAAUGUUGAACAUCAGCUAGUUUCUCCUGCUGAUUUAAACCUUGUUGGACAGAUGGAACAUUGGCUGUGGAUUAUUCUAGCUGCUCUUUUCUUUGAGUGUAAAGGAGACUCAGUGACGCAGACAGAAGUUCAUGUUGUUGCUGCUAAAGGAGAAUCUGUGACUCUGGGAUGCAAUUUUACAAGCACCCGUACAAAUGAUGCCUUCUUCUGGUACAAACAAGAACAAAACAGCUUCCCAAAGUACAUGCUGAAAGAAUAUCUAGGAAGACCUGAAAAUGCACCUGAGUUCAGCAAAGACAGGUUUCAUGCAGAGCUCAAGAACUCAACAUUUAACCUGACGAUCCAGGAUCUCCAUCUGUCAGACUCUGCUGUGUACUACUGUGCUCUGCAGCCCACAGUGACAGGAAACACCAGAACUCUGUUCAAAAACCUGCAGAGAAAUCACAAGGCAAUACUCCACAACAUCCUAUAGAGGGCCUAACACACUAGCUUAAAGAGCCAAAUUAAUAAAAUGUUAAAUAUUACAAUAGUCUAGAAAUCCUCUGGUAA